GAAAGGCGCGCGAUACAGGGUGACAGCCCCGUACACAAAAGCGCAUGUGCUGUGAGCUCGAUGAGUAGGGCGGGACACGUGGUAUCCUGUCUGAAUAUGGGGGGACCAUCCUCCAAGGCUAAAUACUCCUGACUGACCGAUAGUGAACCAGUACCGUGAGGGAAAGGCGAAAAGAACCCCGGCGAGGGGAGUGAAAAAGAACCUGAAACCGUGUACGUACAAGCAGUGGGAGCACCCUUCGGGGUGUGACUGCGUACCUUUUGUAUAAUGGGUCAGCGACUUAUAUUCUGUAGCAAGGUUAACCGUAUAGGGGAGCCGGAGGGAAACCGAGUCUUAACCGGGCGUUAAGUUGCAGGGUAUAGACCCGAAACCCGGUGAUCUAGCCAUGGGCAGGUUGAAGGUUGGGUAACACUAACUGGAGGACCGAACCGACUAAUGUUGAAAAAUUAGCGGAUGACCUGUGGCUGGGGGUGAAAGGCCAAUCAAACCGGGAGAUAGCUGGUUCUCCCCGAAAGCUAUUUAGGUAGCGCCUCGUGAAUUCAUCUCCGGGGGUAGAGCACUGUUUCGGCUAGGGGGCCAUCCCGGCUUACCAACCCGAUGCAAACUGCGAAUACCGGAGAAUGUUAUCACGGGAGACACACGGCGGGUGCUAACGUCCGUCGUGAAGAGGGAAACAACCCAGACCGCCAGCUAAGGUCCCAAAGUCAUGGUUAAGUGGGAAACGAUGUGGGAAGGCCCAGACAGCCAGGAUGUUGGCUUAGAAGCAGCCAUCAUUUAAAGAAAGCGUAAUAGCUCACUGGUCGAGUCGGCCUGCGCGGAAGAUGUAACGGGGCUAAACCAUGCACCGAAGCUGCGGCAGCGAACGUAUCACCCAAGACAACUUUACGGAGUUGACGAUUGACGGAGCGAAGCGACGUCAAAGCGUUCAUUAAAGUCGAGUUGGCUUAGGGAUACGUUCGUUGGGUAGGGGAGCGUUCUGUAAGCCUGUGAAGGUGUGUCGUGAGGCAUGCUGGAGGUAUCAGAAGUGCGAAUGCUGACAUAAGUAACGAUAAAGCGGGUGAAAAGCCCGCUCGCCGGAAGACCAAGGGUUCCUGUCCAACGUUAAUCGGGGCAGGGUGAGUCGACCCCUAAGGCGAGGCCGAAAGGCGUAGUCGAUGGGAAACGGGUUAAUAUUCCCGUACUUGGUGUUACUGCGAAGGGGGGACGGAGAAGGCUAUGUUGGCCGGGCGACGGUUGUCCCGGUUUAAGCGUGUAGGUGUGUGUUCCAGGUAAAUCCGGUUCACUUUAACACUGAGGCGUGACGACGAGGCACUACGGUGCUGAAGCAACAAAUGCCCUGCUUCCAGGAAAAGCCUCUAAGCAUCAGGUAACACGAAAUCGUACCCCAAACCGACACAGGUGGUCAGGUAGAGAAUACCAAGGCGCUUGAGAGAACUCGGGUGAAGGAACUAGGCAAAAUGGUGCCGUAACUUCGGGAGAAGGCACGCUGACACGUAGGUGAAGUGAUUUACUCAUGGAGCUGAAGUCAGUCGAAGAUACCAGCUGGCUGCAACUGUUUAUUAAAAACACAGCACUGUGCAAACACGAAAGUGGACGUAUACGGUGUGACGCCUGCCCGGUGCCGGAA
rnacentral:rRNA from 1 species